ACUGGGAGCGUGGCGACUCCUGUAAUCCAGCUACUUGGAGGUCGGAUUCAGUGGAUGGUUUGAGGUCAGGAGCCCUGGUGUGAAGCGUCUAGCGUUGACCGGGCGUCCGCACUAAGCAUGGCGUCGAUAUGGGCCCCUUGGAGGAGUCUGUGGGGGCCAGGUCGGCUAAGGAAAGGCGAUCCGGGCCAGGGGGGAGACCCAGCAGCCAAAAGUCUUCGCGUCGUGCAGUAGUGGGAUCGCGCCUGGGAGUUGGAACUUUGUAUCAGCCUGACCAAUACAGCUAGACCUGGGUCCUU
rnacentral:SRP_RNA from 14 species